rnacentral:rRNA from 1 species
GACGAACGCUGGCGGCGUGCUUAACACAUGCAAGUCGAACGGAAAGGCCCUGCUUUUGUGGGGUGCUCGAGUGGCGAACGGGUGAGUAACACGUGAGUAACCUGCCCUUGACUUUGGGAUAACUUCAGGAAACUGGGGCUAAUACCGGAUAGGAGCUCCUGCUGCAUGGUGGGGGUUGGAAAGUUUCGGCGGUUGGGGAUGGACUCGCGGCUUAUCAGCUUGUUGGUGGGGUAGUGGCUUACCAAGGCGUUGACGGGUAGCCGGCCUGAGAGGGUGACCGGCCACAUUGGGACUGAGAUACGCCCCAGACUCCUACGGGAGACAGCGGUGGGGAAUAUUGCACAAUGGGCGGAAGCCUGAUGCCGCAACGCCGCGUGCGGGAUGACGGCCUUCGGGUUUUGAACCGCCUUCGCCUGUGACGAAGCGUGAGUGACGGUAAUGGGUAAAGAAGCACCGGCUAACUACGUG